GAUGAAGAACGUAGCGAAACGCGAUAAGUAAUGUGAAUUGCAGAAUCCAGUGAAUCAUCGAAUCUUUGAACGCACAUUGCGCCCGCCAGCAUUCUGGCGGGCAUGCCUGUUCGAGCGUCAUUUCAACCCUCGACCUCCCUUUGGGGAAGUCGGCGUUGGGGACCGGCAGCACACCGCCGGCCCUGAAAUGGAGUGGCGGCCCGUCCGCGGCGACCUCUGCGUAGUAAACCAACUCGCACCGGAACCCCGACGUGGCCACGCCGUAAAACACCCAACUUCUGAACGUUGACCUCGAAUCAGGUAGGACUACCCGCUGAACUUAAGCAUAUCAAUAAGCGGAGGA
rnacentral:misc_RNA from 1 species